UUGACAUCCAGAGAAUUUAGCAGAGAUGCUUUAGUGCCUUCGGGAACUCUGAGACAGGUGCUGCAUGGCUGUCGUCAGCUCGUGUUGUGAAAUGUUGGGUUAAGUCCGCAACGAGCGCAACCCUUAUCCCUUUGUUGCCAGCACGUAAUGGUGGGAAACUCAAAGGAGACUGCCGGUGAUAAACCGGAGGAAGGUGGGGAUGACGUCAAGUCAUCAUGGCCCUUACGAGUAGGGCUACACACGUGCUACAAUGGCGUAUACAAAGAGAAGCGACCUCGCGAGAGCAAGCGGACCUCAUAAAGUGCGUCGUAGUCCGGAUUGGAGUCUGCAACUCGACUCCAUGAAGUCGGAAUCGCUAGUAAUCGUAAAUCAGAAUGUUACGGUGAAUACGUUCCCGGGCCUUGUACACACCGCCCGUCACACCAUGGGAGUGGGUUGCAAAAGAAGUAGAUAGCUUAACCUUCGGGAGGGCGUUUACCACUUUGUGAUUCAUGACUGGGGUGAAGUCGUAACAAGGUAAGCGUAGUGCU
rnacentral:rRNA from 1 species